rnacentral:snoRNA from 1 species
AAGACUGUACUUUCAGGGAUCAUUUCUAUAGUUCGUUACUAGAGAAGUUUCUCUGAUCAUGUAGAGCACCAGAAACCACAAGGAGGAGGCACAGCAUUGUCUCCUGAGCAUGAAGCCGGCUCUUGGUGUUGCUUUGCUGCAGCUGCCAUUUGCCAUUGAUGAUCAUUCUUUUCUUCCUCUGAGAGAGUAAGAGGAUUCAGUCUGAGUGGU